AUUGAACGCUGGCGGCAUGCCUUACACAUGCAAGUCGAACGGCAGCACGGGAGCAAUCCUGGUGGCGAGUGGCGAACGGGUGAGUAAUAUAUCGGAACGUGCCCAGUCGUGGGGAUAACGUAGCGAAAGCUACGCUAAUACCGCAUACGAUCUAUGGAUGAAAGCGGGGGAUCGCAAGACCUCGCGCGAUUGGAGCGGCCGAUAUCAGAUUAGGUAGUUGGUGAGGUAAAGGCUCGCCAAGCCGACGAUCUGUAGCUGGUCUGAGAGGACGACCAGCCACACUGGGACUGAGACACGGCCCAGACUCCUACGGAGGCAGCAGUGGGGAAUUUUGGACAAUGGCGGCAAGCCUGAUCCAGACAAUGCCGCGUGCAGGAUGAAGGCCUCGGUUGGUAAACGUU
rnacentral:rRNA from 1 species